rnacentral:rRNA from 1 species
GAAACCAACAGGGAUUGCCCUAGUAACGGCGAGUGAAGCGGCAACAGCUCAAAUUUGAAAUCUGGCUCUUUUAGAGUCCGAGUUGUAAUUUGCAGAGGGCGCUUUGGCUUUGGCAGCGGUCCAAGUUCCUUGGAACAGGACGUCACAGAGGGUGAGAAUCCCGUACGUGGUCGCUGGCUAUUGCCGUGUAAAGCCCCUUCGACGAGUCGAGUUGUUUGGGAAUGCAGCUCUAAAUGGGAGGUACAUUUCUUCUAAAGCUAAAUAUUGGCCAGAGACCGAUAGCGCACAAGUAGAGUGAUCGAAAGAUGAAAAGCACUUUGGAAAGAGAGUCAAACAGCACGUGAAAUUGUUGAAAGGGAAGCGCUUGCAGCCAGACUUGCUUACAGUUGCUCAUCCGGGCUUUUGCCCGGUGCACUCUUCUGUAGGCAGGCCAGCAUCAGUUUGGGCGGUAGGAUAAAGGUCUCUGUCACGUACCUCCUUUCGGGGAGGCCUUAUAGGGGAGACGACAUACUACCAGCCUGGACUGAGGUCCGCGCAUCUGCUAGGAUGCUGGCGUAAUGGCUGUAAGCGGCCCGUCUUGAAACACGGACCAAGGAGUCUAACAUCUAUGCGAGUGUUUGGGUGUCAAGCCCGAGCGCGUAAUGAAAGUGAACGGAGGUGGGAACCCGCAAGGGUGCACCAUCGACCGAUCCUGAUGUCUUCGGAAGGAUUUGAGUAAGAGCAUGGCUGUUGGGACCCGAAAGAUGGUGAACUAUGCUUGAAUAGGGUGAAGCCAGAGGAAACUCUGGUGGAGGCUCGCAGCGGUUCUGACGUGCAAAUCGAUCGUCAAAUUUGGGCAUAGGGGCGAAAGACUAAUCGAACUAUCUAGUAG